AUAUUGGACAAUGGGGGAAACCCUGAUCCAGCCAUGCCGCGUGUGUGAAGAAGGCCUUUUGGUUGUAAAGCACUUUAAGCAGUGAAGAAGACCUAACGGUUAAUACCCGUUAGCGAUGACAUUAGCUGCAGAAUAAGCACCGGCUAACUCUGUGCCAGCAGCCGCGGUAAUACAGAGGGUGCAAGCGUUAAUCGGAAUUACUGGGCGUAAAGCGAGCGUAGGUGGCUUGAUAAGUCAGAUGUGAAAUCCCCGGGCUUAACCUGGGAACUGCAUCUGAAACUGUUAGGCUAGAGUAUGUGAGAGGAAGGUAGAAUUCCAGGUGUAGCGGUGAAAUGCGUAGAGAUCUGGAGGAAUACCGAUGGCGAAGGCAGCCUUCUGGCAUAAUACUGACACUGAGGCUCGAAAGCGUGGGUAGCAAACA
rnacentral:rRNA from 1 species